AAGGCUGUGGCUGCUCUGUUACACUACUCCCUUACAGCAACUGUCAUGUGGAUGGGUAUUGAAGCUUUUCAUGAUUAUACAGAUUAUAAAAAUUUGGAACUGAACGAAAAAUAUUUUAUGAUCGUGAGUUCAAUUUUGGCCUGGGGUAGGUAUAAUUUCUAUCUUCAGUUUUCUAUUUUCGGGUCACUUUAUCUCUCUCUCUCUCUCUCUCUCACACACACACACACACACACACACACACACACAUAUGCUAUCUCUCUCUCUCUCAAACACACAUACACACACGUACACACAUUUCUUUGUGUUUAAUAUUUGUACAUGAAUGUUAGUUGAUGGCAAAAAUUUCUCUUGAAUGAUCCAGACAAUUGUAUUCAUUUCAUUGAACCAAAAAUGUUGAAGGAAAAGUUAACCUUGUUGGGAUUUGAACUCAGGACACUAAACUAAACAUUAUUAACCAUGUCUUUUGACAUUAUCAAAGUGGAUGUUGCCUAGUAAGAGUUCAAUUUAUUUUUCUCGAUUUUGUUAUUCUGUUCUAAUGUUGCAGAAAGUAUUGAAAAUCAAUCACUGCAGUAAAAUAUCUCAGGAAGGGGCUCUAUAUCACGAAUCCCCUUCAGUGGUUCCAAAAGUGGGUGUUACCAUCCCCUUGGGGCAGUAGAAAGAUCCAGAGACAGUGGAAAGAUCCAAGAGGCAGUGGAAAGAUCUGGUGGGGUGGGCACUGGAAAAAAACAGCGCAAUAAGGGAGUUAUGGAUGGCCUUGCCAGCGUCUAUUUUUCAAUGGUACACUCAAGUUUAAAAAAUAGUGUUUAGUAAAACUAACUUAAAGAACAAAGAACAAAAAUAAAUUUGAAAAACAACAAAAGUUCUCUAACAAAGCUGGUCAUAAAAUUCACAAGAGAAUUCCCCAAAAAGACGAAAACAUGACACUGAACAUAUGGCAUUUUUUCAUCAUGUAUUUUUUCCACAUUUUGAAAACUUGUAAUCUGUAUUCUUUCAGAAAACAUUUUUCGAAAGGCUAUCAUACAUGAAUCAUAAUUUGUUUUUGUUUUUUUUCUUUUUUGGUGGUGGGGUUUCCAGAUUUUAAUUGUGAAAAUCAAAAUGAAAUGGAUGUAUGGAAUUUUUCCUCUAACAAGGCAUACUACAAACGUUUUAAAAUGUGGAAUAUUAUAGCAUUGAAAAUAAAUAGUGCAACCUACUUAGAACCUCCAAACUUGGCUUGCUUGGCGAGAUUAGUCGCCCUUGCCAAACAAUAAAAGUAUAUUUCUUGCUUAUGUUUGCUUUGUCAAAGAUUAACAUUUUGUUCAAGAGUAAUAAUUUGUAAGACAACUAGAAACAUACACAAAAGGAAUCAAUAUUUUGUGUUUGAGCAAUAGAAGGGACACCAUCGAUGGUAGGUUGUCAUUGCAGCUUCAUCAGUUUAUUGUAAAAGUUAUACCUAGCAUGUCUAGUGCACACUCUAUAAUCCUCAGGCAACACCUGGUUGCAAAUAACCUAAGUUGUGGACUUAACAAAUCAAUGAGCACUGUUAUCACAGCAGUAAAUAAAAUCAACACACAUGCUCACAAUUCCUCACUGUUUCAACUCUUGCACACAGAAAUUUAAUGGCUGUCAAAGGGGAACUGCCUAGAAGUUUCUAUUCCCUUUUUAAAACAGUUGUUGAGACUCUUAUUCUGUUCGUUAUUUUCAUUUGAUAGAUAUUUGUCCUCAUCUUGUUUGUUGUUAACACAAAUAUCCAUCAAAUGUAAAUAAUAUACAUAAUUCCUCAUCUCUUAAAUGUAGAACUGUUUAUUCUGUUCUUUGUGAUGAACCAAGAAAUAUCAAGCAUGGCAUUGCUUACAUGGCAGAUAUAUUCACAAAGUUCAAUGAAGUUUACUUGCAACUGCAAGGAAAUUAGAUUAAACAAUACCAAAGUAAAACCAACCAUUCAAAUGUAACAUAAGCCUCCAGUUUCUGAGACUCUCUGAAUUGGAGAAGGAAAAGUGCACAGCAGAAGAUGGCAUUCAAGUGUAUUGUUCACACCUGGAUGAGCUGUACUGAGACAUGUCUGACAGGUUUCAGGAUAUUAUUUUUAGUUACUUUACCAAGAUAUCAGCAAUGAGGAAACAUGAAUAGUGGUUUCACUUAAAGUUAAAUGACACUGAGCUGAGGCCAAAGUUUAAAAAAUCACAUCAAGAAUUUUGAUUACAGAAAUACAUUUCUGAUUGCUACCCUGCUCUGAAGAACAAAGCCAAGAUGUAGUCUAUUGCUGUCCCAACAUCAUAUUUCGUAGAGCAGAGCUUCAGUAUCGAAUGUGAUGACCUAAAACUACUUUUUAGAACCUUUCAGCCAGAUGUUGAGAAGCUAAUUUCCCUGCACAAUGUAUAUCCAUCGUAUUAAAAAUAUGAAAAUAAAGUAUUUACAAGUGAGACGUAAAUUUACUCUUUCGUAUUGUAAAAGCAACAAAACAAUGGGUUAAGUUUAUUUGUGAAAUAUAGUUGUUUUGUAUUCACAGCUGAAAGAGGUCUGUGUUUGUGGUGGUGAGUGUUUGAGAGAGACACUAGGAAUGUGGUAUGGGUGCCAAGUGGGUGGCAGUCUGAAAAAGUUUGGCAAUCAUUGCUCUACCCCAUUAUAGAUCCUACCAUCUUUAAAGAUACUUUUGAAACUAGAAAUUAAAGUGUUGUUGCUUAAAACAACUCAAACUUAGAUUACAGAUCUGUUUUACUGUAAAAUCCAAAUUUACAAUACCAGGAGCGUUAAAUCCUGAGUGAAAAGAUCACUGUCCUACAACUUCAGUCUGAUCUUGUCUCCAGAAGGAACCCAAGAGUUACCUGUUAUGCACUUUCACCAAAUAAUAGUUGAGGAGAGUGAAUUUCUGUUGUCAUCCAUGUCAUUCUGUCUUCUUACCAGUGUCCAGAACUUCCAUGAUUUUCCACUUUUUGCAGCCCUCUAAAGCAUAAUUGAUAGGAUCAAAAUAGCAUAUUAGUCGUAGCUAUUUCUAGAAACCAAAGGAGCAAAUGGCAAGAAGUGAAUUGUGUGUGGUAAGAAAUGAAAUAUCGGUUCCUUUUGAACUGGCUAAUUUUCUGGGCAAAAACAUACUAAACUAAAUCAAUUCACAUAUCAUUUAUUUAUGAUUUCAAAAGUUAAUUAUUAUCUAAAGAUUCAUAUUUGUUUCUGUAAAUAUCAUUGUCAGGUCUUCCAGCUGUCAUUACUCUGGCAGUUAACUACACAAACAAUUACAUCAGUGUUGCACAAGU
rnacentral:lncRNA from 1 species